UACGAAGGGGGCUAGCGUUGCUCGGAAUCACUGGGCGUAAAGGGUGCGUAGGCGGGUUUUUAAGUCAGGGGUGAAAUCCUGGAGCUCAACUCCAGAACUGCCUUCGAUACUGGAGAGCUCGAGUCCGGGAGAGGUGAGUGGAACUGCGAGUGUAGAGGUGAAAUUCGUAGAUAUUCGCAAGAACACCAGUGGCGAAGGCGGCUCACUGGCCCGGUACUGACGCUGAGGUGCGAAAGCGUGGGGAGCAAACAGG
rnacentral:rRNA from 1 species